UGGGGGUGGGGGUGGGAGGGGGGGGGGGGGGUGGAGGUCUAGUAUAAAAAGCCCCCAUUUGGAGACAUCCUGUCUUUAGCCACUGUGCUAUGCGGCUGGAUCGAAAUCACACGAGGUGAAGUGUUUAGUGCUACGGACAUCAUCUGACGUCGAAAAUAAGCGGGACAACAAAGGUAAGUUU
rnacentral:lncRNA from 1 species